CUGAACACACAUUCGACACUAACCAUUUUGUCCCCCCCCCCCAGGUAAAGACGUUCUACUGCAGCGGUCAACGAGACAACAUGAGUGACAAGAAGAAGGAUAAGAGGCCUGACGGCGAAGAAGGCCAAGGCCAGGAGGACUCAGACAGGAUGGGACAAGGACAAGAAGGACAAGGACAAGGAGGAC